rnacentral:tRNA from 1 species
GCUCCCUUCGUCUAGUGGCCCAGGACAUCGCCCUCUCACGGCGGUAACGCGAGUUCGAGUCUCGCAUGGAGCGCCA